UCUCUCUCGAUCCCUAGCUCUGCAUUCUCCACUAAUUCUCCCAAAUGUCUCUACAACCCUAACCUUAAGUCUCCACUCUCUAUGCACUGAUUCUCUCAAAUAUCUCUGCAACCCUAACUUCAACUCUUCACUCUCCACGCACUCUCCACGCAUUGAUUCUCUCAAAUCUCUCUCGAACCCUAACUUCAACCAUCCACUCUCGAUGCAUUGAAACUCUCAUCUCUCGAACGCACUGAAACACUCGAGCUGUGUUCGUGCGAAAAACUUUUUCCCUAAAUCUCCUUGUGCCUCGUUGAGGAAUCUCGUUCAGCACCUUCGUUUCACCUCCGUGGUUCAGUGGCGGUCUUCGUUAGGAUGAUGCUAAGACCUUCAUCUGAGAAUAGCAGAACUUUUUACCUGACCAGUGAAGAGUGAACUGCCAGGGCAAACGACAAGUGGGCACUUUGUUGCAGAGGACAAGCUCUUGGUCUGAGUGAAUGAUCCGAUGUUGGUCUUGGCAUGUUGCUGGAGUGAUCUCAAGGCAUAAUUCCACCUGCACACCCCCAGUUGAUCCUUCAAGGCCUCCACUGCCCCAAUGCUGGAUGUAACAAUCCAAGCUCUGGUUGCUGCACUCAUGAUAACUGCUAUGACUUUUUGAUGAAAAAUUGUUACUGCCACAAAGUCAUCAAAGGGCUUAACUUGUGAGCAGGAAAAAGCCUUAGCGAAGCAAUGCUUAGAUUAUCUAACCAAGAAAAGUGAUGCCCCUUCAACUUCUUACUGCUAUGGGAUGAAACAAAUCAUAUUUUCAUCACCUAUGAAGGAAGAAAAACGUGCUGCUUGUAAGUGUCUAAAGGAAUCAGGCUCUCAGGUUCCUAACCUAGAUAAAGACAGAGACAAUAAUCUUUGCAAAGAGUGCAAAAUCAUGUCCAAUGACUUGAAUUGUCAAAAACUUGAUUAAGCUAGGAACUGUGGAUUAUGCUGGGAAUUUUCUAUUUCUGUUGAACUUCUCUCAAACAUUUUUUUUUCAGACUUGAUUAAGCUAGGAAAUGUGGAUUAUGUUGGGAAUUUUUUAUUUCUGUUCAACUUCUGUCAAACAUUAUGU